GUCACCGCCUCGCGCAAAACGAGGAAGGGUUGCGGCAGAUCGGUGCGCGGAGGCCCGGCACGUACGACGAACAGCUGCUUCCUCUGGAGUCACGCAGGUUCAACGCUGAGAGCGAGCGAACGCAGACUCCACCAGCAGCAAAUGUAGGACCGUCUCUACUUUGUAGGAGCUCUGGACAUGUUCUGACUAAACAGAACUGCAGGUUACAUCAGCAAAAUAGGAAAGUCCCCGCUGUGACGUCACACUGCCGGGCUGCAGCGCUCGGACCACACAGAGAGGCCGGCACCGAGGAGGAAGCGGGCGUUCAGUGUAACUGCAGGGAAACAACAGCCUGUGGCCAACAGACAUUGUGUCUUCGUGUUUGUGUCAGUUCUCAUACCAUUAAUUACUGUUUUCCCUUCUCUCACAAACACGUUCCAUAUAAAUGUGUUACACAUUCUGAUGAAUGAUGGUCACAGGUUCAGUUCAUAUCCUCAUGGAGCGAAACUGUUUGAAUUGAGACUAGCUCAAAUCGGUGAUGAUCAGCAAAGAUCCAGUGUCAUGUUACAUGGACUCACGGUGACAUCGAUUAGUCAGAGAGCCGCCCCUCAGAGCAGCGAACCAGUCAGACCUGUGUCUGACUAGAACCGCUUCUGUCGGCAGCUACAGUCACAGGAAUCAGGAAUAAUUGAUUCUUAUCUAGUGAAGGACCACACACACGAGUGUGUAUAAAUGCUGCAGAGAAAGCUUGUUCACACACACACACACACACACACACACACACACACACACACACACACACACACACACACACACACACACACACACACACACACACACACACACACACACACACACACACACACACACACACACACUCUGCAUAGGACCAAAAACUUAUUGUUUGUUCUGGUAAUUAAUUUAAUACUGUGUAAAUGCUAAUUAUUUAACAGCUAAGCUUUGUAUUAUGUACUGAAAAAAAAAACGAUGAUCAAGUUUCCAGGCAAAGCAAAUGCUUUCAAGACCAAGUACGUAAGUAACUGAACUGCCUCCUAAAGUUCUCAACAUCAUCUAAAAUAUGCUUGAAGCCUCCCAGUGCCCAUUUUUACUUAAACCAAAAGUUAUUUAUUCAGCUAACAGCUAAGCUUAGCUUGUAAAAUAGUAUUAUUAUAUAUCAUUAUUAUAUAUCGGGCUUCUCCAGAGACAUAGUAUGAAAGUGGAUAAUUUCAAGCUUCAGUGUUUAUGCCUUUAAAAAAUAAAACAAAGUGCAGUUUUCUUUA